rnacentral:tRNA from 1 species
GCGUCGGUGGCGGAGUGGUCAAUCGCACGACACUGUAAAUGUCGCGCCUACGGGCUACGUUGGUUCGAAUCCAACCCGGCGCA